UACGAAGGGGGCUAGCGUUGCUCGGAAUCACUGGGCUUAAAGGGUGCGUAGGCGGCCAACUAAGUCAGACGUGAAAUCCCUCGGCUUAACCGGGGAACUGCGUCUGAUACUGGAUGGCUUGAGUUUGGGAGAGGGAUGCGGAAUUCCAGGUGUAGCGGUGAAAUGCGUAGAUAUCAGGAGGAACACCGGUGGCGAAGGCGGAUCUCUGGGCCUGUUCUGACGCUGAGGCGCGAAAGCUAGGGGAGCGAACAGG
rnacentral:rRNA from 1 species